rnacentral:rRNA from 1 species
AAAUAAAAAAUUAUUUAUUGUUAUUAUUAAAUUUGUGAAUUAAUAUAAUUAAAUUUAAUUUUUUAAUUUUUUGUAUUGUGUAUAGAUAAAAUAAUUUUUAUUAUAGUAAAUUAGUAUUGAUAAAGAAUUUUGAAAAAAAAAAGAAUUUAAUGAAAAGUAAUAUUUAUUUUAUGUACCUUUUGUAUCAGGGUUUAUUAAUUAAGAAUUAAAAAUUUUAAUAUUCUCGAAUUUAAAGGAGCUAAUUUUAUAUGAUAGUUUAUGUUUUAUAAUAAUUAUGAAUUUAAAAUUAGUAAUGAAAUGUUCUUCGUCUUUAAAUAUAUCUAGUUUUUUAAGAAAUAAAUUUAAUUUAGAUAUUAAUAAUAUAAUAUUUUUUAUUUAAAAGUUAAUUAUUUAUUAAUAUUAAUAUAUUAAGGGAUAAGCUUUAAUUUAUUAAAUUAUAAUUUUAUUAUAAUAAAAAUUAAUUGUAGAUUUAGAAAUAGUUAUCAAUAUAAAUUUUGUAUUAAUUUAUAAUUUUUAUUAAAUAUUUUAUAAAAUUUAAUUUUAGUAUUAAAAUAUAAUUUUUAAUAAGAAAAAAUUAGAAAUAAUGAUAAAAUUAGUAUAUAUUGAAUUAUUUAUUUUAAUAUUUAUAAAAAAUUAAUUUAAGGAAUUCGGCAAAAUAAUAUUCACCUGUUUAACAAAAACAUGUCUUUUAGAAAAUAAUUUAAAGUCUAACCUGCCCACUGAAUAUUUUUGAAGGGCCGCAGUAUUUUGACUGUGCAAAGGUAGCAUAAUCAUUAGUCUUUUAAUUGAAGGCUUGUAUGAAUGGUUGGAUGAAAUAUUAACUGUCUCAAAUUAAUUAAGUAGAAUUUAAUUUUUAAGUUAAAAAGCUUAAAUUUUAUUAGAGGACGAGAAGACCCUAUAGAUCUUUAUAUUUUUAUUUGUAUUUUUUAUUUAGUUAUAUAUAGAAUUAUAUUUAUAAAAUUAUUUUAUUGGGGUGAUAACUAAAUUUAUUUAACUUUAUUUAAUUUUUACAUUAAUUUAUGAAUAAUUGAUCCAUUUUUAUUGAUUAUAAGAUUAAGUUACCUUAGGGAUAACAGCGUAAUUUUUUUAGAGAGUUCAUAUCGAUAAAAGAGUUUGCGACCUCGAUGUUGAAUUAAAGAUUAAUUUAGGUGUAGUAGUUUAAAUGUUUGGUCUGUUCGACCAUUAAAUCUUUACAUGAUUUGAGUUCAAACCGGCGUGAGCCAGGUUGGUUUCUAUCCUUAAUAAAAUAAAAUAUUUUAGUACGAAAGGACCAAAUAUUUAAAAAAUUUUUUUUUUACAAGAAUAAUAUUAAU